rnacentral:rRNA from 1 species
GAUGAACGCUGGCGGCGUGCCUAAUACAUGCAAGUCGAGCGAAUGGAUUAAGAGCUUGCUCUUAUGAAGUUAGCGGCGAACGGGUGAGUAACACGUGGGCAACCUGCCCUGUUGAUCAGGACAACCCGGGGAAACCCGGGCUAAUACCGAAUGUGGUGCCGGCUCAUGAGAGCCGUCACGGAAGGAAGCUUCGGCCUCCUCCGCAGGAUGGGCCCGCGGCCCAUUAGCUUGUUGGUGGGGUAAUGGCCUACCAAGGCAACGAUGGGUAGCUGGUCUGAGAGGACGAUCAGCCACACUGGGACUGAGACACGGCCCAGACUCCUACGGGAGGCUGCAGUGGGGAAUCUUGCGCAAUGAGCGACAGCUUGACGCGGCAACGCCGCGUGGGGGAAGAAGGCUUUCGGGUCGUAAACCCCUUUCAGUUAGGACGAAGCUUUAUUGGUUAAUAACCAAUUGGAGUGACGGUACUUUCAGAAGAAGCCCCGGCUAACUACGUGCCAGCAGCCGCGGUAA